rnacentral:rRNA from 1 species
AUUGAACGCUGGCGGCAGGCUUAACACAUGCAAGUCGAGCGAGCGGCGGACGGGUGAGUAAUGUCUGGGAAACGGCCUGAUGGAGGGGAAUAACGACUGGAAACGGUAUCUAAUACCGCAUAACAUCAGAUGUGCCCAGCUGGGAUUAGCUAGUAGGUGGGGUAAUGGCUCACCUAGGCGACGAUCCCUAGCUGGUCUGAGAGGAUGACCAGCCACCCUGGAAGUGAUACACGGUCCAGACUCCUACGGGAGGCAGCAGUGGGUAAUAUUGCACAAUGGGCGCAAGCCUGAUGCAGCCAUGCCGCGUGUGUGAAGAAGGCCUUCGGGUUGUAAAGCACUUUCAGCGAGGAGGCGUUACUCGCAGAAGAAGCACCGGCUAACUCCGUGCCAGCAGCCGCGGUAAUAC